CAAUUAAAAGGUCAAUUUAAAGCAAAUCCUUUACUAGGAUUAAGUCUUGCAAUUUGUUUAUUCU
rnacentral:tRNA from 1 species